AGUUUUUAGUACGUGGCAGUAUCAUAGCCAAUGAGGUGAAUCCGAGGCGUGAUUAUUGCUAGUUGAAAACUUUUCCCAAUACACUUGUUUAAAUUGCAAUAGCAAGGUGGCUAGCUACACUACUGAUUAUAACUGGUUCUGAGAUUUCAAUCUCUUGA
ensembl:snRNA U4 U4 spliceosomal RNA